AGAAUCAACGCUGGCGGCGUGCCUAACACAUGCAGGUCGCACGAGAAAGGGACUUCGGUCCUGAGUAAAGUGGCGCACGGGUGAGUAACACGUGAAUCAUCUACCUCCGAGUGGGGAAUAACCUAGAGAAAUCUGGGCUAAUACCGCAUAACACUUACGAGUCAAAGCAGCAAUGCGCUUGGAGAGGAGUUCGCGGCAGAUUAGUUAGUUGGCGGGGUAAUGGCCCACCAAGACGAUGAUCUGUA
rnacentral:rRNA from 1 species